CAGGAUGAACGCUAGCGACAGGCCUAACACAUGCAAGUCAGGGGCAGCACAAGGAGCAAUCUGAGGUGGCGACCGGCGCACGGGUGAGUAACACGUAUGCAACCUGCCUGUAAGCGGGGAAUAACCCGUUGAAAGACGGACUAAUACCGCAUAAUACUAAAUUACUGCAUGGUAAUUUAUUUAAACAUUUAUGGCUUACAGAUGGGCAUGCGCAUGAUUAGCUAGUUGGAGAGGUAACGGCUCCCCAAGGCAACGAUCAUUAGGGGUUCUGAGAGGAAGGUCCCCCACACUGGUACUGAGACACGGACCAGACUCCUACGGGAGGCAGCAGUGAGGAAUAUUGGUCAAUGGACGAGAGUCUGAACCAGCCAAGUCGCGUGCAGGAAGAAUGUCCUUAAUGGAUUGUAAACUGCUUUUGCAGGGGAAUAAAGUGCAUCACGUGUGAUGUUUUGUAUGUACUCUGCGAAUAAGGAUCGGCUAACUCCGUGCCAGCCGCUGC
rnacentral:rRNA from 1 species